AUUAGCGUCUGUAGCAUGUAUAAGGGACAUGUUAUCAUACCUGUGUCUUUUUAUAGGUGAUUAAUGCCCGGUGAGAGGGUGAAAGGGACCUAUACCCCCGUCAGCUGCAGGAAAGGAACAAAGAGACAGGUGAUUAAUGCCCGGUGAGAGGGUGAAAGGGACCUAUACCCCCGUCAGCUGCAGGAAAGGAACAAAGAGACAGGUGAUUAAUGCCCGGUGAGAGGGUGAAAGGGACCUAUACCCCCGUCAGCUGCAGGAAAGGAACAAAGAGACAGG